rnacentral:rRNA from 1 species
AAAUUUCAGCUGUAAUGUUUCAA